UACGUAGGUGGCAAGCGUUAUCCGGAAUUACUGGGCGUAAAGCGCACGCAGGCGGUCUUGUAAGUUUGACGUGAAAGCUCUCGGCUUAACUGGGAGAGGUCGUUGAAUACUGCAAGACUUGAGUUUAGGAGAGGGGUGUAGAAUUCCCGGUGUAGUGGUGGAAUGCGUAGAUAUCGGGGGGAAUACCAGUGGCGAAAGCGGCACCCUAGCCUUUGACUGACGCUCAUGUGCGAAAGCGUGGGGAGCGAACGGG
rnacentral:rRNA from 1 species